rnacentral:tRNA from 1 species
AGGUUUUGAGUUGGGUACAAUUUAUAAUUUGCAAUUAUAAGAUAUAUAUGUUAUAAAAUCUU